rnacentral:rRNA from 1 species
GGCAUGCCUUACACAUGCAAGUCGAACGGCAGCACGGACUUCGGUCUGGUGGCGAGUGGCGAACGGGUGAGUAAUAUAUCGGAACAUACCCAGUAGUGGGGGAUAACUAUCCGAAAGGAUAGCUAAUACCGCAUACGAUCUGUGGAUGAAAGCAGGGGAUCUUCGGACCUUGUGCUAUUGGAAUGGCCGAUAUCUGAUUAGCUAGUUGGUAGGGUAAAAGCCUACCAAGGCGACGAUCAGUAGCUGGUCUGAGAGGACGACCAGCCACACUGGAACUGAGACACGGUCCAGACUCCUACGGGAGGCAGCAGUGGGGAAUUUUGGACAAUGGGGGCAACCCUGAUCCAGCAAUGCCGCGUGAGUGAAGAAGGCCCUCGGGUUGUAAAGCUCUUUUGUCAGGGAAGAAACGGAGUUCUCUAAUAUAGGAUUCUAAUGACGGUACCUGAAGAAUAAGCACCGGCUAACUACGUGCCAGCAGCCGCGGUCAUACGUAGGGUGCAAGCGUUAAUCGGAAUUACUGGGCGUAAAGCGUGCGCAGGCGGUUUUGUAAGUCUGAUGUGAAAUCCCCGGGCUCAACCUGGGAACUGCAUUGGAGACUGCAAGGCUA